rnacentral:rRNA from 1 species
CAAGGGUCCCGAUCGGGACUUCUGGUACGCGAUAACGAGUCACAUUUCUAGCUUGCUAGAAGAUGACGAGCGGCGGACGGGUGAGUAAUACUUAGGAAUCUACCUAGUAGUGGGGGAUAGCUCGGGGAAACUCGAAUUAAUACCGCAUACGACCUACGGGAGAAAGGGGGCAACUUGUUGCUCUCGCUAUUAGAUGAGCCUAAGUCGGAUUAGCUAGAUGGUGGGGUAAAGGCCUACCAGGGCGACGAUCUGUAGCUGUCUGAGAGGAUGAUCAGCCACACCGGGAUUGAGACACGGCCCGGAUUCUUACGGGAGGCAGCAGUGGGGAAUAUUGGACAAUGGGGGAAACCCUGAUCCAGCCAUGCCGCGUGUGUGAAGAAGGCCUUUUGGUUGUAAAGCACUUUAAGCAGUGAAGAAGACUCUUCGGUUAAUACCCGGAGACGAUGACAUUAGCUGCAGAAUAAGCACCGGCUAACUCUGUGCCAGCAGCCGCGGUAAUACAGAGGGUGCAAGCGUUAAUCGGAAUUACUGGGCGUAAAGCGAGCGUAGGUGGCUUGAUAAGUCAGAUGUGAAAUCCCCGGGCUUAACCUGGGAACUGCAUCUGAUACUGUCAGGCUAGAGUAGGUGAGAGGAAGGUAGAAUUCCAGGUGUAGCGGUGAAAUGCGUAGAGAUCUGGAGGAAUACCGAUGGCGAAGGCAGCCUUCUGGCAUCAUACUGACACUGAGGCUCGAAAGCGUGGGUAGCAAACAGGAUUAGAUACCCUGGUAGUCCACGCCGUAAACGAUGUCUACUAGUCGUUGGGUCCCUUGAGGACUUAGUGACGCAGCUAACGCAAUAAGUAGACCGCCUGGGGAGUACGGCCGCAAGGUUAAAACUCAAAUGAAUUGACGGGGGCCCGCACAAGCGGUGGAGCAUGUGGUUUAAUUCGAUGCAACGCGAAGAACCUUACCUGGUCUUGACAUAUCUAGAAUCCUGCAGAGAUGCGGGAGUGCCUUCGGGAAUUAGAAUACAGGUGCUGCAUGGCUGUCGUCAGCUCGUGUCGUGAGAUGUUGGGUUAAGUCCCGCAACGAGCGCAACCCUUGUCCUUAGUUACCAGCGGGUUAAGCCGGGAACUCUAAGGAUACUGCCAGUGACAAACUGGAGGAAGGCGGGGACGACGUCAAGUCAUCAUGGCCCUUACGACCAGGGCUACACACGUGCUACAAUGGUAGGUACAGAGGGCAGCUACACAGCGAUGUGAUGCGAAUCUCAAAAAGCCUAUCGUAGUCCAGAUUGGAGUCUGCAACUCGACUCCAUGAAGUAGGAAUCGCUAGUAAUCGCGGUACCAGAGAUGUUGGGUCGAUGCACCG